CGCCUCUUGAUGAAAUAAUAUAGGAGGUUGUACCUGCCCAGUGAUUCUUGAAAAUUGAAUUAAAUGGUUGCAGCUAAAUGCUGUACUAAGGUAGCGUAAUAAUUUGCCUCUUGAUUGGGGGCUAGAAUGAAGGGUUUGACGUAAGAAAAUUUGUCUCCAAAACAAUAGUGUGAAGUUUUCCUCUUAGUGAAAAGCCUAAGAUGUAGUUAAAAGACGAGAAGACCCUGUCGAGCUUGAUAAAAUGUAUAAAUUGAGGUAUAUUAAUAAGUUUAGCUGGGGCAGUUCGGAGCAAUAAAAAAGCUCUGUAUAUAAUGAUAUAGAUCCAACUUAAGUUGAAUGAAGAAAAAGCUACCGCAGGGAUAACAGCGUAAUUUUCUCUGAGAGGACUAAUUGAAGGGAAAGAUUGCGACCUCGAUGUUGGAUUAGAGUUGCUUUCCGGUGCAGCUGUUGGAAUGAGUAAGACUGUUCGUCUUUUAAAACUCU
rnacentral:rRNA from 1 species